CAACUGUUAAGAUGUGCAGGCAGUACUUCCAGAACUUCCAUCCACAUGGAAGCCAAAGUAUAUUUGUGAUGAAACCAUAAAACACCCGGAAGAGCCUUUAAGACUGAACGUGGACUAGUAAUUGUCACUGCUGAUGCAGUCCGCUGUCAUGUCAAAUCUUUUUCAUGGAUCAAGUAUGCUCUCAGAGCAUAGUAAAGGGACAAGACUGAUUCUAACUGGCCAGAUAAAGUACGGUUACCUGAAGAAGGGGACACACAUCACGCCAUGGAAAGGGGAGGCAUUCCUAGUAAUGCAA